AAGACUAUAGACCUGCGGAGUACCUGCGGAGGGAUCAUUAACGCAUCUAUGAUGGGGUGCGGAGCGCCCUGCUCCGGUCGAACGGCCGUGCAGCGGGUGCGCCGCCCCCGUCCCACCUCACAAACCCACUGUGAACAUUCACCGGUGGAGGGGGCUCGGUCUGCGCCGUGUCCCCGAUGCCGAAUACCCAAACUCCAGUUGCAAAGAACGUCGUGCGGACUCGGUGCCGCCUAAAACAUG
rnacentral:misc_RNA from 1 species